rnacentral:rRNA from 1 species
AUUGAACGCUGGCGGCAGGCCUAACACAUGCAAGUCGAACGAGAGGCGGACGGGUGAGUAAUGUCUGGGAAACUGCCCGAUGGAGGGGGAUAACUACUGAAAACAGUAGCUAAUACCGCAUACCCUCGGAUGUGCCCAGAGGGGAUUAGCUAGUUGGGGGGGUAACGGCUCACCUAGGCGACGAUCCCUAGCUGGUCUGAGAGGAUGACAAGCCACACUGGGAUGGAGACACGGUCCAGACUCCUACGGGAGGCAGCAGUGGGGAAUAUUGGACAAUGGGCGAAAGCCUGAUGCAGCAAUGCCGCGUGUAUGAAGAAGGCCUUCGGGUUGUAAAGUACUGUCAGCGAGGAGGCGUUACCCGCAGAAGAAGCACCGGCUAACUCCGUGCCAGCAGCCGCGGUAAUAC